rnacentral:tRNA from 1 species
GGCUCCAUAGUGCAGUGAUUAGCACGUCUGCUUUACAUGCAGAAGAUCCCGGGUUU